rnacentral:rRNA from 1 species
GAUGAACGCUGGCGGCGUGCCUAAUACAUGCAAGUCGAACGAGGAGCUCUUGUAGCAAUACGAGGGUUUCCUAGUGGCGAACGGGUGAGUAACGCGUUGGUGACCUGCCCCGAAGAGGGGGAUAACAGUUCGAAAGAACUGCUAAUACCCCAUGUGGACACGAGGGUUAGAGGCCUCGUGUCUAAAGGAGCAAUCCGCUUUGGGAGGGGCCUGCGUCCCAUCAGCUAGUUGGUGGGGUACUGGCCUACCAAGGCGACGACGGGUAGGGGGCCUGAGAGGGUGGCCCCCCACAAUGGAACUGAAACACGGUCCAUACACCUACGGGUGGCAGCAGUAGGGAAUAUUGCACAAUGGGCGAAAGCCUGAUGCAGCAACGCCGCGUGCACGAUGAAGGUCUUCGGAUCGUAAAGUGCUUUUCGGGGAGAUGAGAAAGGACAGUAUCCCCGGAAUAAGUCUCGGCUAACUACGUGCCAGCCGCCGCCGUAACAC